UACGUAGGGUCCGAGCGUUAAUCGGAAUUACUGGGCGUAAAGCGUGCGCAGGCGGUUUUGUAAGCCAGAUGUGAAAGCCCCGGGCUUAACCUGGGAAUGGCAUUUGGGACUGCAAGGCUGGAGUACGGCAGAGGGAGGUGGAAUUCCGAGGUGUAGCAGUGAAAUGCGUAGAUAUCUGGAGGAACACCGAUGGCGAAGGCAGCCUCCUGGGCUAGUACUGACGCUGAGACGCGAAAGCGUGGGGAGCGAACGAGGA
rnacentral:rRNA from 1 species